rnacentral:rRNA from 1 species
GGAGGCGGCGCAGCCUGAUGCAGCGACGCCGCGUGAGGGAUGACGGCCUUCGGGUUGUAAACCUCUUUCAGUAGGGAAAAAGCGAAAGUGACGGUACCUGCAGAAGAAGCACCCGCUAACUACGUGCCAGCAGCCGCGGUAAUACGUAGGGUGCGAGCGUUAUCCGGAAUUAUUGGGCGUAAAGAGCUCGUAGGCGGUUUGUCGCGUCUGUCGUGAAAGUCCGGGGCUUAACCCCGGAUCUGCGGUGGGUACGGGCAGACUAGAGUGCAGUAGGGGAGACUGGAAUUCCUGGUGUAGCGGUGGAAUGCGCAGAUAUCAGGAGGAACACCGAUGGCGAAGGCAGGUCUCUGGGCUGUAACUGACGCUGAGGAGCGAAAGCAUGGGGAGCGAACAGGAUUAGAUACCCUGGUAGUCCAUGCCGUAAACGUUGGGCACUAGGUGUGGGGACCAUUCCACGGUUUCCGCGCCGCAGCUAACGCAUUAAGUGCCCCGCCUGGGGAGUACGGCCGCAAGGCUAAAACUCAAAGGAAUUGACGGA